CUACGUGCCAGCAGCCGCGGUAAUACGUAGGUGGCAAGCGUUGUCCGGAAUUAUUGGGCGUAAAGCGCGCGCAGGCGGAUCAGUCAGUCUGUCUUAAAAGUUCGGGGCUUAACCCCGUGAGGGGAUGGAAACUGCUGAUCUAGAGUAUCGGAGAGGAAAGUGGAAUUCCUAGUGUAGCGGUGAAAUGCGUAGAUAUUAGGAAGAACACCAGUGGCGAAGGCGACUUUCUGGACGAAAACUGACGCUGAGGCGCGAAAGCCAGGGGAGCGAACGGGAUUAGAUACCCCGGUAGUCCUGGCCGUAAACGAUGGGUACUAGGUGUAGGAGGUAUCGACCCCUUCUGUGCCGGAGUUAACGCAAUAAGUACCCCGCCUGGGGAGUACGACCGCAAGGUUGAAACUCAAAGGAAUUGACGGGGGCCCGCACAAGCGGUGGAGUAUGUGGUUUAAUUCGAUGCAACGCGAAGAACCUUACCUACUCUUGACAUCCAGAGAACAUUC
rnacentral:rRNA from 1 species